AGGAAAUUUACUCUCAGGACUCAGACUACUUAUUUCCUCUAGAGCAAAUUCAUUGCCACUCUGGUUGGUAAAUACUAUCAAAUGUAUAAAUGAAAUCUGUACCUUCACAGGAAUUUCCCAGUUUGGGUGGAGAUGAAUUUCAGGACUGGCAAGCAGUCUUCUGCCUCCUCUAAUAUGAUAAUGAACAUUGAGCUAUUGGCUCAAAUAUACCUCUGUCAGAGAUUAGCAGUAGAUGUGACUUUGCUGUUUGUCUUGUUGUAGAACAGGGCUUUCAUAUUUCCCCAUUUUAUUUAAAAGCCCGUUUCCUCCUUCUCUCUACAGUAUAAGCACAAAUCAUAAUAUUUUCUUUUCUUUUCCAAUAAUAAAUGUCUGUAGGGGCUGCAGGCUUCAUUGUUUGGUAAGCCUGACAGAUUUCUCCUAUCAUUUGUUUGAUUAAAAGACUCAGUAACUUUUAGGAGUCUUGCUGCUGGUUUCUUCCCAUGUGAAUGAAAUACAAAACAAAAGGCUUGACGUGCCAAGGAGUAGGCAGGUGUGUUUACAUGGAUUCUAUCUAUAGCAGCUGUUUACUGUUGGAGAAUGGAUUUCUUCAUGCUGUGAACAACAUUAUGGAACUUUAAGAUUGUGUUAGCUCAAAGUGCUCUUUGACUGUCUUCUCUCUUUCUAACUUUGCUCAUGUUGGUCCUUGAGACAGUUGAGCCAGUCUUGUUCCUGGCGUUGUGGUGAGCCUGAACUAGAGAUCCCAUGAAUGGAUGAGCUGGAGACCUUAUCUAUGCUGAAGAUAUUAUGGUUACUAUUAGAAGAAGGAAGCUACCUUCAAAAAAACAACUAUUUAAUACUUCUAAUGAGUCUAGGAGUUGAACAGGGCUGUUCGGCUGACGUCGGCUGAGUCCAGCUGAUAUUGCUGGGAUCUCUGGUGGGUUUGUUGUCAGCUGAUGGCUCUGCUAAGGAAUGUCUGAUCUAGGUCAGCCUCAGCUGGAACAAUUCUGCUGUCCCCCGCCACAUGUUUCUUAUAAGCUUCUAAUGGGAUAACCAACGCACGUAAUCAGAGAAGCAAGAGAGAAGGCAGAAAACUCACAUGGCUUUCAAGCUUCUGCUAGCAUCAAAUGUGCUACUCUCGCCUUGAGCAAAACAAAUCACAUGGCAGAUGUCAGUGUGGGAGGUAAUUACCAAAGCCAUAGGGAGGAGUAAAAAGUUGGGUUAUGAAUAUGAAUGCAAUAAAUCUAUCACAAAGAUUGAACUGAUAAAUGAUGGUUUAUUUGAGGGUAAUGGAGGGACUAUUAUUCUCCUUGUCAUUGCUGAAAAAUGUGAUAGGUUUUCAAAAACAAAGAAUGGGAAUGCACUCAGACAAUGAGCAAAGAGACUUUUGAAGACCUUUGACAACUCUUCUAUCAGUCCUCUUGGGAACUCUAAGAGGAUGAUUUUAAGGACACUGUCAACUGGGAGAUCUUUUUCCAAACAAACACUGCUCUCAUUUUUGACAUCUGGAUUUUGACAUCAAGAGCUGCCCACAUUCUGAGCUUAGAACUCAUCUUUGAAAAGUUGGCUACUUUUUCUGACACAAGCCAAGAAAAGGUAUUUAUUUUAAAGGUAAGAAUGAGUAACAAAAA
rnacentral:lncRNA from 10 species